rnacentral:rRNA from 1 species
UACGAAGGGGGCUAGCGUUGCUCGGAAUCACUGGGCGUAAAGGGUGCGUAGGCGGGUCUUUAAGUCAGGGGUGAAAUCCUGGAGCUCAACUCCAGAACUGCCUUUGAUACUGAGGAUCUUGAGUACGGGAGAGGUGAGUGGAACUGCGAGUGUAGAGGUGAAAUUCGUAGAUAUUCGCAAGAACACCAGUGGCGAAGGCGGCUGUCUGGUCCGGUUCUGACGCUGAGGCGCGAAAGCGUGGGGAGCAAACAGG